AAUAAAUUUAAUCAGAGAGGUGUCUAUCUCUUUUCGUCUCAUUUGAAUUAGGUUAUAUCCUAUUGUAAAUAUCAAAUUCCUGUGAGCAACAUUUCCAUUUACUGUUUGGUGGCCCCAGCAAUCAGUAAGUAAAAUAAGAUGUCAUUGGACCGAGACGGUUACAAGCCAUUAGACAUUCGCAAAGAAAUGAGAGAAUCUAUCGAUCUUUGGUUUCACGGCACAUCCUUGUCUAUCCACAGCGAAAAAGCUGUUGCCUCUUCAUGUUAUUAUAGAAAUCGUCUAAGUAGGCUAGUGGUAAUGCAAAAUACGUCAUAAAAUGUCGUGGAUCUCUCAUCGAUUGCACUGGCCGUAUAUUUGAGAACAAAGUGGACAACAGUAAAAUAUAGUCACCAUACGCAUCGUCAACCAAACAAAAAGGUACAGAGAUCCAAUUGUCACAGGCUUAACGGACUUGGUGACCAGUGCUUCCACGGAACUGUCUGCCGUAAGAUAUUGGCUAUGGCACUGAAGCUCAACAACUCAAUUUCAAAAUCUACAUCGCCAACAUCAUCUAUUAAUACCGCUACCCCAAAUUUCUCUAAGCGACGAGAAUCAUGUGAGAUGUGAAGAAUAAUAAAUCCUCAAUUCAUGAUGGAGCUAGAACAAAACUUUUAGAUGAUCGACUACAUCUGGAAGUCCCGUAGAAGACAGCACCCAUUCAAAACCUACUAAAAAGAACAUGAGGACGAAGCUAAAACAACAAUCACAAUUAAGGCCUUCAUUGCUUUCGAGAUUCGCGUUUAUUUUUUGGGCUUUCAAAAUAAACCUAAUAUCAACUGUGUGCCACACACCGUUCUAUUAAACAAGGAAAACAUUGCAGUAAAGUCAAGCUGAUUCUACUUUAGUUUGUUCAUAUUUAAAUAACUGCUUUAAGUACAAUCUGGGUGCUGGGGAUCUUAAGGGUCAGGUAUAUUCUAGUUUAUUAUUAAUUAUUUUAGCCUUUAGCUUAUUAUUUAUGGUACA